rnacentral:lncRNA from 1 species
GCCGGGAGUCUGGAGUGGUGCAGCCCCAGGGGGAUUUGGUGCUAGUUUGUACACGUUUAACCAAUGGAAACACAGUACCUUUAUCUAUUUGUACAAGAUGACAGUCAAAUCUCCACAAAGGAGCAGCUCCAAGGGGUGCCAGGGUUCCUCAAAUACACCCUUUAAGGUAUAUUCCUCCAAAACUAUACAGGGAGCAAAUUACUGUAAACUGUGGUCUUUUAAAAUUGCAGAAUAUCCUGCUUACCAGGGUAGAGCACGUUGCUGGAGCAGUAUGGUAAGUUAACUCUGUGAAUGAACAGCAAGUUAUAUUUCCUCUGGCAAAGGAGACGGGGAAAACAGAUGUUAAGGAAAAUACUCUGGCAGUGUUCUCAUGUUGAG